UACGAAGGGGGCUAGCGUUGUUCGGAAUCACUGGGCGUAAAGCGCACGUAGGCGGAUUGUUAAGUCCGGGGUGAAAUCCCGAGGCUCAACCUCGGAACUGCCUUUGAUACUGGCGAGCUAGAGUCCGGGAGAGGUGAGUGGAACUGCGAGUGUAGAGGUGAAAUUCGCAGAUAUUCGCAAGAACACCAGUGGCGAAGGCGGCUCACUGGCCCGGAACUGACGCUGAGGGGCGAAAGCGUGGGGAGCAAACAGG
rnacentral:rRNA from 1 species